rnacentral:tRNA from 1 species
AGAAACUUAGGAUAACCUAACCCCCCCAAACCGGAGGCCUUCAAAGCCUCAAAUAAGAGUUAAACCCUCUUAGUUUCUG